rnacentral:ribozyme from 1 species
CAUUUGUUUGACCAAUUUACAAAGUUUAUGGAUGAGCUAACCGCAAAGAGACGAGAAGAAGCUGUUGCAAUUGCUGUCUUUCCCAGUAUUGUCAAGAUUCUUCCUCAGCAUAUAUUUA